GUUCGGUUAGCUCAGUUGGCAGAGCAUCGCAAUUACGCACAUCUCUCACAUGGAAGUGGAAGAACAGUUACUGCGAAGGCCAUAGGUUCAAGCCCUAUACUGACCA